CGCUAGUGGCGGACGGCUGAGUAACGCGUAGGUGACCUGCCCCGAAGUGGGGAAUAACUGCCCGAAAGGGUGGCUAAUACCGCAUGUGGUGGUUCGUUCGGUCGGACCACCAAAGCCGCAAGGCGCUUCGGGAGGGGCCUGCGUCCGAUUAGCUCGUUGGUGGGGUAACGGCUCACCAAGGCGACGAUCGGUAGGUGGUCUGAGAGGACGAUCACCCAGACUGGAACUGAGACACGGCCCAG
rnacentral:rRNA from 1 species